rnacentral:rRNA from 1 species
CUUACCUGCAAGUCGAACGGUGAAAGAGAGCUUGCUCUCUGGAUCAGUGGCGAACGGGUGAGUAACACGUGAGCAAUCUGCCCCUGACUCUGGGAUAACAGUUGGAAACAGCUGCUAAUACCGGAUACGAGCUUCGAAGGCAUCUUCAGAAGCUGGAAAGAACUUCGGUCAGGGAUGAGCUCGCGGCCUAUCAGCUAGUUGGUGAGGUAAUGGCUCACCAAGGCGUCGACGGGUAGCCGGCCUGAGAGGGUGACCGGCCACACUGGGACUGAGACACGGCCCAGACUCCUACGGGAGGCAGCAGUGGGGAAUAUUGCACAAUGGGCGCAAGCCUGAUGCAGCAACGCCGCGUGAGGGACGACGGCCUUCGGGUUGUAAACCUCUUUUAGCAGGGAAGAAGCGAAAGUGACGGUACCUGCAGAAAAAGCGCCGGCUAACUACGUGCCAGCAGCCGCGGUAAUACGUAGGGCGCAAGCGUUAUCCGGAAUUAUUGGGCGUAAAGAGCUCGUAGGCGGUUUGUCGCGUCUGCUGUGAAAACUGGAGGCUCAACCUCCAGCCUGCAGUGGGUACGGGCAGACUAGAGUGCGGUAGGGGAGAUUGGAAUUCCUGGUGUAGCGGUGGAAUGCGCAGAUAUCAGGAGGAACACCGAUGGCGAAGGCAGAUCUCUGGGCCGUAACUGACGCUGAGGAGCGAAAGGGUGGGGAGCAAACAGGCUUAGAUACCCUGGUAGUCCACCCCGUAAACGUUGGGAACUAGUUGUGGGGUCCAUUCCACGGAUUCCGUGACGCAGCUAACGCAUUAAGUUCCCCGCCUGGGGAGUACGGCCGC